GUCAGAGUAGCUCAGUUGGUAAGAGCGAAGGAUUCAUAACCCUUAGGUCGAGAGUUCGACUCUCUCCUCUGACA
rnacentral:tRNA from 1 species